AGAGUUUGAUUCUGGCUCAGAACGAACGCUGGCGGCGCGCCUAAUACAUGCAAGUCGAGCGAGAAGGUGUAGCAAUACACUUGUAAAGCGGCGAACGGGUGAGGAAUACAUGGGUAAUCUACCAUCGAGUGGGGAAUAACCAACCGAAAGGUUGGCUAAUACCGCGUACGCUUCUGAGCCUUCGGGUUCGGAAGGAAAGCCGUACUGUGAGUGCGGCGCUCUUUGAUGAGCUCAUGUCCUAUCAGCUUGUUGGUAGGGUAACGGCCUACCAAGGCUUUGACGGGUAGCUGGUCUGAGAGGACGAUCAGCCACACUGGCACUGCGACACGGGCCAGACUCCUACGGGAGGCAGCAGUAAGGAAUAUUGCGCAAUGGGCGAAAGCCUGACGCAGCGACGCCGCGUGGGGGAUGAAGGUCUUCGGAUUGUAAACCCCUUUCGGGAGGGAAGAUGGAGCGAGCAAUCGUUCGGACGGUACCUCCAGAAGCAGCCACGGCCAACUUCGUGCCAGCAGCCGCGGUAAUACGAAGGUGGCAAGCGUUGUUCGGAUUCACUGGGCGUACAGGGUGUGUAGGCGGUUUGGUAAGCCUUCUGUUAAAGCUUCGGGCCCAACCCGGAAAGCGCAGAGGGUACUGCCAGGCUAGAGGGUGGGAGAGGAGCGCGGAAUUCCCGGUGUAGCGGUGAAAUGCGUAGAGAUCGGGAGGAAGGCCGGUGGCGAAGGCGGCGCUCUGGAACAUACCUGACGCUGAGACACGAAAGCGUGGGGAGCAAACAGGAUUAGAUACCCUGGUAGUCCACGCCCUAAACUAUGGAUACUAAGUGUCGGCGGGUUACCGCCGGUGCCGCAGCUAACGCAUUAAGUAUCCCGCCUGGGAAGUACGGCCGCAAGGUUGAAACUCAAAUGAAUUGACGG
rnacentral:rRNA from 1 species